UACGUAGGGGGCGAGCGUUGUCCGGAUUUAUUGGGCGUAAAGAGCUCGUAGGCGGUUUGGCAAGUCGGAUGUGAAAUCUCCAGGCUCAACCUGGAGGGGUCAUUCGAAACUGCCAUGACUAGAGUUCGGUAGAGGAGUGUGGAAUUCCUGGUGGAGCGGUGAAAUGCGUAGAUAUGUGGAGGAACACCGAUGGCGAAGGCAGCCCCCUGGGCCGACACUGACGCUCAGGCACGAAAGCGUGGGGAGCAAACAGG
rnacentral:rRNA from 1 species